UUGAACUUGUUUUUCAUAGUUGUCCGCAGGGUGAGAGAGACUGGUGAUUUCCAGUGGGAUCCCUGGAAGGCAGUAUGGCCUGCUGGAAGACCAGGGGGAUGUAAAGCUUCAUCUAAAGUCAUGGUUGAAGUUGGCAGGGUCUUCUGGAGGUCAUCUGGUCCAACCCCCCAGCUCAAGCAGGGUCACCUAGAGGCAGUUACUCAAAAGAGUGUCCAGAUGACUUUUGAGUAUCUCCAACGAGGGGAACUCCACAAUGUCUCUGGACAGCCUUGUUCCUGUGUUUGCUCACCCUCAAAGUGAAAGGGCUUUUUCUUACAUGUUUCAGUGCGUGCCUGUUGCCUCUGGUCCUGUCGCUGGGCACCACUGGGAAGAGCCUGUCUCCAUCCUCUUUGCACCCUCCCUUCAGGGGUUGGUUGAGUUCCCCUCAUUGAUGAGGUCCCCCCACACUGAUGAGGUAGGUCCCCCUUGAGCCUGAUCUUCUAUUGGGUAAACAGUCCCAGGUCUCCUCCCAGCCUUUCCUCAUAGGAGAGAUGCUCCAGAUCCUUAAUUUUAACUCCUCUUGAUCCGAUUUCAGAGUCUUGAUCUGAUUUCAUUUACAUACUUACUAGAAAUUAUACAGAAAGAAUUUAAAUGUUUUCCUAAAUUCCAUUAAUCAAAUAAACCCUAGAUUGGGCAGCUUAGGUACUCUUUCAGGGAUGCUUUAGUGUGAGUCUGUCCAGUAGAAGACUGCUCCAAACAGAACGCCAUCAUGCUCCAGGCUUAUCUAUUUUGGAAGUGGUUGUUUGAUCACCCUUCCUCAGAUAGGUUAUAUCUAGAAACAGUAAGCAAAGGGAGGUUGAAUGGGACUUGUCUUUAAAAGAAUUAAUUUAUCACAUGCAUUAAAAGUUCUAUAUACAUGUGUGGAGUGAUUGCCAUCCUUCCUUUCCAGGCAUUUGGUAUGUAUGGCUUCUUGAAAAUACGACAGAUGCUGGCUGAACAGCUGUCUCUUGUUGACUAAUGGUAUGGUGUGAUUUCUUAGCUCAUGAUUUAAUGUUUUCUAGCCUGCUGGAUAGAAGGUAACCAGAUUGAAACGUUUUUAAUACCUUUUUUGUUUGAUGGGAAAUGGCAGUUUUCAAGGAGCAACAUGUCACAAAGUCACGUCAACUUCAACACAAUUUUCAGUUACAUGUUUAGCAGAGUAAUUUAAAAUAAAAGCAGAUUUUUAAUUUCA